rnacentral:tRNA from 1 species
GGGGAUGUGGCUCAAACGGUAGAGCACUUGCCUGGCAUGCAUGCGGCGCUGGGUUCUAUCCUCAGCACCA